CAGGGAAAUGGCAGGAGUGGUGGGAGUGGAGGGAGGCUCCUCAACACCAGGAGGGGGCUGGUUGGAGUUCUGCAGGUGGAAGAGACCAGUCUGAAACGGACCAGAGAUGAGCAACAGAGGGAGAUGAAAUUUCCGAUGGUGUCUCAGUUCUGGUAUCCAGCUGUUCCUGAAACCCAGCCAAGCCCCGCCUUUAAUAAUAGCAGGAGCAGCAGCAACAACAAACAUUUACUGAAUGCCUGUAAUAAAUCCCACCUUUUGCUAA